CGAUAUAUCGUGACAUAAAGGUGCCACAUGGCGACAUAUUGCGACAUAAAGGCGUCGUAUCGCGCCGUAAAGCAGAAUAUCGCGACAUAAAGGUGCCACAUGGCGAUAUAUCGCGACAUAUCGCGACAUAAAGGUGCCGUAUCGCACCGUAUCGCGCUGUAAAGCAGUAUAUCGCGACAUAAAGGUGCCAUAUCGCACCGUAUCGUGAUAUAUUGCGACAUAAAGGUGCCACAUGGCGAUAUAUCGUGACGUAUCGCGACGCAUCGCGACAUAAAGGUGCCAUAUCGCACCGUAUCGUGACAGAAGGCAGUAUAUCGCGACAUGAGGCGCCAUACGAGGAUAUAUCGCGACACGUCGCGACGGAAAGGCGCACUAUGGCGAUAUAUCGGGACAUAUCGCGACAUAAAGGUGCCAUAUCGCACCAUAUCGUGACAGAACGCAGUAUAUCGCGCCAUGAGGUGCCCUAUGGCGACAUAUCGCGACAUAUCGCGACAUAAAGGUGCCACAUGGCGAUAUAUCGUGACAUAUCGCGACGCAUCGCGACAUAAAGGUGCCGUAUCGCACCGUAUCGUGCCGUAAGGCAGUAUAUCGCGACACGAGGUGCCCUAUGGCGACAUAUCACGAUAUAUCGUGACAUAAAGGUGCCACAUGGCGAUAUAUCGCGACAUAAAGGUGCCACAUGGCAAUAUAUCGCGACAUAAAGGCGCCGUAUCGCGACAUAUCGCGACACGUCGCGACGGAAAG
rnacentral:lncRNA from 1 species